AGUAGAACUGCAGUAUUUUACCUUCGGUUCGGUAUACCGUAAUGCAAUGCCAAAAUUCAGUAUUUCGGUUUUCGUAUCGACAUUUUAUUCACCUUUUUAUUUGACAGUUUUGUUCCUUCAAAAU